CCUACGGGAGGCAGCAGUGGGGAAUAUUGCACAAUGGGGGAAACCCUGAUGCAGCGACGCCGCGUGAGCGAAGAAGGUUUUCGGAUCGUAAAGCUCUGUCCUGGAGAAGAUAAUGACGGUUCCANGNGAGCCCCCNU
rnacentral:rRNA from 1 species